UCAAACUACACUUCUCUGUUAUAUGUGUGGGAGGCCGAGUUCAAUUCCAUGAAGGGUCCCUGGUUGGCAGUUCAGUCUCUAGAAUUUCCUUUAAUUUUUGUUCAAAGGCAGUGUCCCUGAUGGCAGGAGAAGCAUGGCAACAGGAACCGGAAGCUAAGAGAUCACAUUUCCAUUGUGCACAGGAAGCAGAGAGGAAAAGCAAUAUGCCACAAGCUUUUGCAGUAGCACGU
rnacentral:lncRNA from 1 species